rnacentral:rRNA from 1 species
GAUGAACGCUAGCGAUAGGCCUAACACAUGCAAGUCGAGGGGCAUCACAUGAAGUAGCAAUACGGAUGGUGGCGACCGGCGCACGGGUGAGUAACACGUAUGCAACCUGCCUUCAACAAGGGGAUAACCCGUUGAAAGACGGACUAAUACCCUAUAACACAGGGGUCCCGCAUGGGAAUAUUUGUUAAAGGACAACCGGUUGAAGAUGGGCAUGCGUUCCAUUAGCUAGUUGGCGGGGUAACGGCCCACCAAGGCAACGAUGGAUAGGGGAACUGAGAGGUUUAUCCCCCACACUGGUACUGAGACACGGACCAGACUCCUACGGGAGGCAGCAGUGAGGAAUAUUGGUCAAUGGACGCAAGUCUGAACCAGCCACGUCGCGUGAAGGAAGACGGCCCUACGGGUUGUAAACUUCUUUUAUACGGGAAUAAAGUGCCCCACGUGUGGGGUUUUGCAAGUACCGUAUGAAUAAGGAUCGGCUAACUCCGUG